UCCGGUGUGGUUUAGUUGGUUAUAAUUCUAGGCUUUUUGCUACCUCGAGACCCUGGUUCGAUCCCAGGCGCCGGAC